rnacentral:rRNA from 1 species
GACGGAGGAUGCAAGCGUUAUCCGGAAUGAUUGGGCGUAAAGCGUCUGCAGGUGGCCGUUCAAGUCUGCUGUCAAAGACCGGGGCUUAACUUCGGAAAGGCAGUGGAAACUGAACAGCUAGAGUAUGGUAGGGGCAGAGGGAAUUCCUGGUGUAGCGGUGAAAUGCGUAGAGAUCAGGAAGAACAUCGGUGGCGAAGGCGCUCUGCUGGACCAUAACUGACACUCAGGGACGAAAGCUAAGGGAGCGAAUGGG